GUUUUGAAAAUGGGAGUAUGGUACUUGAUUGAUGGUCGAGUAGGCAAGGGACGCGGGAGGAACCGGCGGACCCAACACAUGGUGGCAAAUACCUGAGGUCGAAAGACCAGUAUGGAAAACCCACAAUUAAAGAAAUGAAAUACGGCUAAUACCUGAGGUCGAAAGGCCGGUAUGGAAACCCCCGUAUUAUCUAUUGGCCAAAUUUGAUGAACAGGUUCCAAAAAUCAAAGUCUAUUGCUAUCAGUCAAGUACCACACUUCAAGGGUACCCGAUAAAGAGAAGGAUUUCAAAGAAAAGGAUCACGAAUGAAGUUAUAGAUGUGAUAUUGUACUUAUUGAAUGGAUAAUGUGUUAUGUGAUUGAUAUAUUGCUAUUACAUCAGUUUCAACUUGCUGAGCCAUUAGCUCAUUAGGUUCUUAUGAUGCAGGUAAUGAUGUACAUGUUUAGAAGUUGACCUAGCCAAGAGCGGCUAGUCAGAUAUUUGUUCAUAUGCCAUGCUUCGAGCCAUUUUUGUAGCCGAGCAGAAACUCUGAUUUCAUUUUGUUAGCCGCUCUAUUAUGGUUUUUGUACAAUGUAAUUUUGUAAACAAUGAAUAUAUAUAUGUACGGAUUUUGAGAAAGUACUAAGUUUGAUUUCUUUUCAAAGCAUAUAACGUAUUUUUGUAUUAAAACCAUAAUGUUUAAGUAUAUAUAUAAAAAGCUUAGCAUCCCUAACUUAAUGGCGGUGAUCCGAUUGGAUUCUGCUGUUAGGUUGUGCGGUGUUACAUUUUUGGUAUCAGAGCGGAGGUUUAAAAUCUUUUCUGAAGACAGAAGAAGGCAUAUGAACAUACUUUGGCUGGGAAGCUAGGUUAACUCUUUUCUUAUUUACCUAUGUGUUUAAUUUAUAUGUUGCAUAGCAAAUAUCCAGAAUUGUUCGGUACGUCAAAUUUCGAGGGCGAAAUUUUAUAAGGAGGGAAGAAUUGUAAUGCCCAACCAUCCAUACAUGGCCAAUAAUAAGCAUAUUGCAUCAAUGCAUAUAGUUAUAAUUCAUUAUUCAUGAUGCAUGAUCACGACUACUUGCUACACAUGUGCCUUAAUUGUGUUUUAAUACGUGAUCGAAUACUUUUCUUAAACUGUGAUAAUAUAUGAUACAUGUUAUUGAACUUCUACUUUAUGAUUUAACAUUAACUUAAAUGAUUUAUUGUAGUGAGAAGUUAAGUUUCUCGCUAAACGGUGAUAUAUUUGUCUUAGAUGCAUUUCUGCAUUUUAAUUAUGAUUAAUUACAUAUGUAAUUAUUUGAAGUAACUCAUACUAGACUAAAACCAAAAGUAUGCAAAAUGGUGCAUUUUGAUUGGUUGGUUGACUAGGUUGCACGAGACCAUUCUGAAAUUGUUUACACUUGAUUAUAAUGAGUAUGCAUCAGCCCAUUUCUUAUCUCAAGCUAUAAAAACGUGGAGGAACCACAAGAAUCCAGCAAAUACAAGCCUUCCAAUCACCAUCCUCCAUUUGGCCUUGUUGGGAAUGGGUAGAUAAGUGAAGACUUUGUGUUUUGGUCUUCAUUUUCACUUGUCUUCUUCCAAAAAUGACCAGACCUAUUUCCUUAAUUUUGUCUUCAUAUUUCUUCACUUCCAUACUCACAUAAGAGAGCAUCAAACCAUAAAAACUCAUAGAAGUAGAGCUAGAACAAGUUCUGCACCUUUUCUAGCUGAAAAUCCUAUGUUUUGAAGUUGAAUUCAUCUCUAAUCAAGGCUUCUAGCACACCUUAUCUAAAACUGAUCCUUUCAUUUCAUAAACCAUUAUUGAUCUUGAGGUAAGUUGAAGCUUUCAUUUGCACAUCGUAAGAACCUAAUUAUGUGCGCUUUAAUGUGACUUUUGCUAUGUAUUCUCUAUAAUGUUUGAAUGAUUGAUGAGUCAUAGUGAUAUGAAAGAAUAUGUUUUGAAAAUGGGAGUAUGGUACUUGAUUGAUGGUCGAGUAGGCAAGGGACGCAGGAGGAACCGGCGGACCCAACACAUGGUGGCAAAUACCUGAGGUCGAAAGACCAGUAUGGAAAACCCACAAUUAAAGAAAUGAAAUACGGCUAAUACCUGAGGUCGAAAGGCCGGUAUGGAAACCCCCGUAUUAUCUAUUGGCCAAAUUUGAUGAACAGGUUCCGAAAAUCAAAGUCUAUUGCUAUCAGUCAAGUACCACACUUCAAGGGUACCCGAUAAAGAGAAGGAUUUCAAAGAAAAGGAUCACGAAUGAAGUUAUAGAUGUGAUAUUGUACUUAUUGAAUAGAUAAUGUGUUAUGUGAUUGAUAUAUUGCUAUUACAUCAGUUUCAACUUGCUGAGCCAUUAGCUCAUUAGGUUCUUAUGAUGCAGGUAAUGAUGUACAUGUUUAGAAGUUGACCUAGCCAAGAGCGGCCAGUCAGAUAUUUGUUCAUAUGCCAUGCUUCGAGCCAUUUUUGUAGCCGAGCAGAAACUCUGAUUUCAUUUUGUUAGCCGCUCUAUUAUGGUUUUUGUACAAUGUAAUUUUGUAAACAAUGAAUAUAUAUAUGUACGGAUUUUGAGAAAGUACAAAGUUUGAUUUCUUUUCAAAGCAUAUAACGUAUUUUUGUAUUAAAACCAUAAUGUUUAAGUAUAUAUAUAAAAAGCUUAGCAUCCCUAACUUAAUGGCGGUGAUCCGAUUGGAUUCUGCUGUUAGGUUGUGCGGUGUUACAUUUUUGGUAUCAGAGCGGAGGUUUAAAAUCUUUUCUGAAGACAGAAGAAGGCAUAUGAACAUACUUUGGCUGGGAAGCUUGGUUAACUCUUUUCUUAUUUACCUAUGUGUUUAAUUUAUAUGUUGCAUAGCAAAUAUCCAGAAUUGUUCGGUACGUCAAAUUUCGAGGGCGAAAUUUUAUAAGGAGGGAAGAAUUGUAAUGCCCAACCAUCCAUACAUGGCCAAUAAUAAGCAUAUUGCAUCAAUGCAUAUAGUUAUAAUUCAUUAUUCAUGAUGCAUGAUCACGACUACUUGCUACACAUGUGCCUUAAUUGUGUUUUACUACGUGAUCGAAUACUUUUCUUAAACUGUGAUAAUACAUGAUACAUGUUAUUGAACUUCUACUUUAUGAUUUAACAUUAACUUAAAUGAUUUAUUGUAGUGAGAAGUUAAGUUUCUCGCUAAACGGUGAUAUAUUUGUCUUAGAUGCAUUUCCGCAUUUUAAUUAUGUUUUAAUAUGAUUAAUUACAUAUGUAAUUAUUUGAAGUAACUCAUAUUAGACUAAAACCAAAAGUAUGCAAAAUGGUGCAUUUUGAUUGGUUGGUUGACUAGGUUGCACGAGACCAUUCUGAAAUUGUUUACACUUGAUUAUAAUGAGUAUGCAUCAGCCCAUAUCUUAUCUCAAGCUAUAAAAACGUGGAGGAACCACAAGAAUCCAGCAAAUAAAAGCCUUCCAAUCACCAUCCUCCAUUUGGCCUUGUUGGGAAUGGGUAGAUAAGUGAAGACUUUGUGUUUUGGUCUUCAUUUUCACUUGUCUUCUUCCAAAAACGACCAGACCGAUUUCCUUAAUCUUGUCUUCAUAUUUCUUCACUUCCAUACUCACAUAAGAGAGCAUCAAACCAUAAAAACUCAUAGAAGUAGAGCUAGAACAAGUUCUGCACCUUUUCUAGCUGAAAAUCCUAUGUUUUGAAGUUGAAUUCAUCUCUAAUCAAGGCUUCUAGCACACCUUAUCUAAAACUGAUCCUUUCAUUUCAUAAACCAUUAUUGAUCUUGAGGUAAGUUGAAGCUUUCAUUUGUACAUCGUAAGAACCUAAUUAUGUGCGCUUUAAUGUGACUUUUGCUAUGUAUUCUCUAUGAUGUUUGAAUGAUUGAUGAGUCAUAGUGAUAUGAAAGAAUAUGUUUUGAAAAUGGGAGUAUGGUAUUUGAUUGAUGGUCGAGUAGGCAAGGGACGCGGGAGGAACCGGCGGACCCAACACAUGGUGGCAAAUACCUGAGGUCGAAAGACCAGUAUGGAAAACCCACAAUUAAAGAAAUGAAAUACGGCUAAUACCUUAGGUCGAAAGGCCGGUAUGGAAACCCACGUAUUAUCUAUUGGCCAAAUUUGAUGAACAGGUUCCGAAAAUCAAAGUCUAUUGCUAUCAGUCAAGUACCACACUUCAAGGGUACCCGAUAAAGAGAAGGAUUUCAAAGAAAAGGAUCACGAAUGAAGUUAUAGAUGUGAUAUUGUACUUAUUGAAUGGAUAAUGUGUUAUGUGAUUGAUAUAUUGCUAUUACAUCAGUUUGAACUUGCUGAGCCAUUAGCUCAUUAGGUUCUUAUGAUGCAGGUAAUGAUGUACAUGUUUAGAAGUUGACCUAGCCAAGAGCAGCCAGUCAGAUAUUUGUUCAUAUGCCAUGCUUCGAGCCAUUUUUGUAGCCGAGCAGAAACUCUGAUUUCAUUUUGUUAGCCGCUCUAUUAUGGUUUUUGUACAAUGUAAUUUUGUAAACAAUGAAUAUAUAUAUGUAC
rnacentral:lncRNA from 1 species